rnacentral:rRNA from 1 species
AUUGAACGCUGGCGGCAGGCCUAACACAUGCAAGUCGAGCGGCAGCGGGAAAGUAGCUUGCUACUUUUGCCGGCGAGCGGCGGACGGGUGAGUAAUGCCUGGGAAAUUGCCCAGUCGAGGGGGAUAACAGUUGGAAACGACUGCUAAUACCGCAUACGCCCUACGGGGGACAGCAGGGGACCUUCGGGCCUUGCGCGAUUGGAUAUGCCCAGGUGGGAUGAGCUAGUUGGUGAGGUAAUGGCUCACCAAGGCGACGGUCCCUAGCUGGUCUGAGAGGAUGAUAAGCCACACUGGAACUGAGACACGGUCCAGACUCCUACGGGAGGCAGCAGUGGGGAAGAUUGCACAAUGGGGGAAACCCUGAUGCAGCCAUGCCGCGUGUGUGAAGAAGGCCUUCGGGUUGUAAAGCACUUUCAGCGAGGAGGAAAGGUUGAUGCCUAAUACGUAUCAACUGUGACGUUACUCGCAGAAGAAGCACCGGCUAACUCCGUGCCAGCCGCCGCAGUAAAAC